GCUAGCAAAGGGAGAACAACAAGCUGGUACUAUCUCUUGGCCUCCCAUGAAGUCUCUCGUACAAAGAGGACUUAAUGCUAGAGCUCGUCCUACUAUGGCCCAAGUAAUAGAGUCAUUGAAAGCAAUAAAGAUCUGAUUUAUUAUUGUAAUUUAAUUUACCUUUUAUUUUAAUUACUCUGCUGCCUUUUGUUGCCUUUAGUAUAGUUUUACUUUUUCCAAAUUCUCUUCCAAACUUUUUUAUUUGUUCUGCCUUUCUCUUCACUACUACUCUUCUCUUGUACUGCUUCCUUUUAAAGUAUCAUGUAAUGUUUUUAGUGUACUAUUGAGUGUAGCAUACGUUUUAUUGCUUUACCUAUUAUAACUGUAACUUGUUUUCUACUCAGAUCUAUUUCAACUCUUCUCUUCCAUUCUUUAUUUGUAAUUUCUCUCAGUCUCUUCUAUUCCCUUUCUUAUCCAUCCUUCUCAUUUCUUGCUUUCACUCUUGAUUUUUGUAGCCGUCCUAAAUCUUUUUUUUUUCAAUAUACACUGCCUUGUAAAUGUACUUCUGCAGCAGCAGCUCAAUAAAAUAAAACCUUUAACCUCAACUCCACCCAUGUCAAGCCCCUACUACCCCCCUAUUAUUCCUACUAUUGUGCUUGCUAGCUACUUAUGCUCCACUAUCAGUUUUCAGCAGUCAUGAGUUCGAGGUUUUUACUAUUUUAAUUAGAUCUCCAUAGAUCUACUUCGUUGGGCACGGCUCAUUUGUUGCCUAAAAAUCUCUAGUCUCGACCAUCCCCCAGCCUACAGCCUUGACAAAACCGAGGACAAAACCCUGACCUGUAAAGACUCUGGUCCGCUCUGGUCGCUUGAAAGUUGAAACUCGUGUAAACUGACACAGGAUACUAGGAAGGAUAAAUUGUAGUUACUUAAAAAUGUCUUCCAAGAAAGAAAAUUCAAGCGAAAAAUAUGAGUUGCCACCUCUGGUCUGUUUUGGAUAUCAUAAGGACUAUCACUCUGAUCAAAUGUGUAUAGCAGAUAAUGGGACAGAGGCAAAGAAACUUAAUCCUGAGGAAUUUUAUGCAAAGGGUGUGGUGUAUUCUGAGAGACCAGUCAAAAGCCGUGUUGAAUUUGAGGUUGAAGUGAUAUCACAUGGGGCCCCUUGGUCUGGGAACUUGAAAUUAGGCAUAAUGUUACACAAAUCCAACA